rnacentral:rRNA from 1 species
AGCGAACGCUGGCGGCAGGCUUAACACAUGCAAGUCGAGCGGGCAUAGCAAUAUGUCAGCGGCAAACGGGUGAGUAACGCGUGGGAACGUACCUUUUGGUUCGGAACAACUGAGGGAAACUUCAGCUAAUACCGGAUAAGCCCUUACGGGGAAAGAUUUAUCGCCGAAAGAUCGGCCCGCGUCUGAUUAGCUAGUUGGUGAGGUAAUGGCUCACCAAGGCGACGAUCAGUAGCUGGUCUGAGAGGAUGAUCAGCCACAUUGGGACUGAGACACGGCCCAAACUCCUACGGGAGGCAGCAGUGGGGAAUAUUGGACAAUGGGCGCAAGCCUGAUCCAGCCAUGCCGCGUGAGUGAUGAAGGCCCUAGGGUUGUAAAGCUCUUUUGUGCGGGAAGAUAAUGACGGUACCGCAAGAAUAAGCCCCGGCUAACUUCGUG